AAAAGCCCGGUCAGCGUUGAGUGUCCGUAGCUGAAGGACUGGGGGGCUAGGAGCUGCAUGCCUGAGACCGCGGCAGGUGCGUAGAAGGGACCUGGGAAGGAACCGUCCCGUCCCAGCGCAGGGCAGGGCAGGACUGGCCCCCCACGGCACCUCUUUGCAUGCUGGCAUUGCUUCUGGUUUUCGGCCAGGGCUGGGCUGUUCGAGCAGAUGUUCAAAAAGUUUGGAGCAUAAUGGCCGGCGAUGCUUUGGUGUUAUGGUGAUCGGUGCGUUCAUCAGAGAAUUGCGGGAGUCAGGCUGGAAGGGACUGCCAGAGGUCAUUUAGUCCUGCCAGAGGCAGGAUCAUCCCUGUUCGAACCAUCCCAUACAGACCAUCAUCUAUUCUAGAUUCUAUACAAGAGGACCCUCAACCCUGAUGACGCAGACCUAGCUUCUGAACCUACCAUCCCUAAAGCAGGGGACCCACAGCAGCCAAUGCCUUGCUUGUAUAAAAGGUCGUUAAUACAGGCAGGAGAGAUCCCAGGUAGAGCUGCACCCCCUGCUACAGAAGAAGCCCCAAGCCCCUGCAGUUCCUACCAGUCUGACCAUGGGGUAAACUUCCUUCCUGACCCCAAAUCUGCCCAAUCAGUCUGACCCUGAGCAGAGGGGCAAAACCUUUUAGCCAGGAACCUCUAGCUUUAAGUCCCAGCAGAAGCAAAUAGAUUAGAAAUUGAUUAACUGAAACAGCAAAGCCCAUCAUCUCAAGAGGUGAGACUUCAAACUGGUUUAAAAUUAGCCCCCCUGAAAGGAGUUUCCUCUCACGUGAGAGAGGUUUUCAGAGUGUAGUGCACUUGAAAACUUACCUGUUUGUUAUUUCCCACCCUCAAACAGAACAGUCACUUUGAAUUCUUUUUAGGUGGUGUGAAACUUUGUAUCCCCUAAGAUCCAAAAAUUCUUAUAAUCCAAAUAAUAUUUCAGAUAAACGUUUAUUUGCCUUUUGAUUUAGAAUGCUACACGCUAAAGGUAGGAGCUUCAUGUCUUAAACAUUUAAUUUAAAACAAUACUUAGUGCUCAUUUCUGUAGGUUAUAAAGAAGCCAUCCAGCUAUUUCACUUUUUUGAGAUAACUCCUAGUGUGCAAUUGGCGCUUAAUAACCAGUAGUAAAAUCUCAUCCCAUUCUUUCUUACAAAGUUAAUGCUCUCAGUAUAUAGCAAUCACUGAAGCUUCUGCCAACCAUUUAUUUUUCCUCUGUGAGGACUUGUCUCCUGGAGUUAUUACUAAUAAACUCCAUGUGUGAAUAUUCUUAUCCCAGGAUAAGUAUGCCCAUGGAUAAAAUUAAUCAAGAAUAACCCCAUGUGUAGUUAAGCCCUAAGGCAGCAAUUCUCAGCCAGGAUGCCAUUGGGUACUGCACAAUGUUAGCAAUGUUAGACGCACAAAAAUGAUUCAUAGGAUGAAACCAGAAUUUUGUAACGGGAUCUAUAGUAUUAAAAACUUCCUAACCUGUUGUGAUCUUUUUUAAUUCUUUGCAACAGAAGGAUGCUUUAUUAUUUUUCUGUAGUAAAAAAAAGGUGAAAAUUAAGGGCUGACAUUUGCCAAGAGGUGCCCUGAGUCUAUCGAGGCAUGCCUCUAAUCUAUUGUGCGGUGCCUUGAGUGUAAAAAUGCUAAGAACUGCUCUCCUAAGGCCUUAUAUGGCAUGCAUUGCUUCUCAGUAUCUCAAGAACAUUACCUAAUUUAUCCUUGUAACCCAAGUUAGAGAAGUAUUGCUGCUCUUAGUUUACAGGUCGGGGACUGAGCCACAGAGAAAUCAAGUGCUUUGUCCAGAGUCCCGCAGUGAGAUGGUAACAAGAAAGAUAUUUAAUCAGAAUUCCUGUGUCGUGGGUCAGGGCCUUCAUCACAGAAUUGUUCUUUCUCCCUUUUUUUAAAGCCAGGCUUCCAGAUUUCACUAGGAAGUGGAGGAAAUCAGGAGCUCUGAUUGUGUUGCUGAACUGCGGGAGAGAGAGGAAGGAAUUAGUGAAAGAGCAGGCAACUGUGACUGAUUGAAGCAAAUGUCAUUGGAAAUUAAGGGCCGAGUCCUUUUCUCUCUGAAAUCAAUUACAAAACUCCAGUUGACUUCAGUAGAAGCAGAUUUGAGCCCAAAGAAUAGAAGGGAAAUUGUUAAAACAAGUCUUUGGCAAGCCAACUGCUUUGCCAGGGGCUUUACAUAUUUAAUAAUGUAGUUGUCAUCUCAAGUCACUAAGCAUUUUUCUCUUACUCCUCUAGAACCUAAGGCUGGAUCUCCCCAGAUGGCGUGGCCUCACAUUGAACCUAAUGGAUAGAACUAAUUUAAUUAAAAUGGACAUUCUUUUCAGAAUCUUGAAUUUCAUGCAACUGCUCGCAACCCUUCCCACUGGUUGGUUUAAGAACUAACACGUCUGGAUGUUUCUUGUGUUCCUCUGACAAAGCAAGAAACCCAGAACCAGUUGGAGUAAAUUAUGCAAGGUUCAGGCUGGGGAAUGUUCAGAAUACCUGGAUGUUCCACCCAAGGAAAUUCACAAUUGGGUGGCCUUCGGCAGGUCUAUUUGGGACUGAUUUUGAUCUGAGGUACGCAUCAAUCCAGUAAGGAGUCCACUGUCCCCUUCUUAAUAUCCUAUGGGAGAAUCAGUCCACAAUAAUCUGCAGGGCAACCUGUUCACAGGAAUAAUCAUGAAGCUCAAUACUGUUCUACCCCACUCAAGGGAAAUUCACUUCUGCAUACAUCAAAGACCUUCUAAACCAGUGGUUUGCAACCUGUUUAGACUUGAGGCAUACCUGGAUAGAUGGAAGGCACCCCUUGGAAAAUGCAACUGUUAGUCUUCACUUAUUUUUGACUACAGAAAAACUAUGGUGCAAUUCUUCUGUUACAAAACAACUCCAAAAUACCACAGCAGAGAAGAAUGUUUUUAACACUGGAUUCCUAUUUGAAAUCUCUUGGUUUAUCUUGAGCAUCAUGUUUGCACACUUAAUGCAAAUAUUGCAUGGCAUGCUUGAAAGGAGCUCUCCUGCAGAAAGUAUAAGCAGCUACAAUUAUUUAGUCUUCAAAGGCUCUUCCACUUAGUUUUAAAGAUUAAUCAAUCUAAAGCAGAAAUUGCCAUAUGAUAUUAUAAAUGCAGAAACACUACAUCUCCCCUUUUCCAUUACCUGUUCUCUGUGCUCUGGGAGAAGCGAUCUCUUGUAUCCUUAACAAUUUCUCUAGCAGUAGGUAACCAAGGUGCAUACAGAGAUUGACAAGCCUCCAUUUUUAAUUCGAAUGUGAUUUCUUUUCUCAACACUACCAGACUUGGUUCACAGAUCUGAGUGCCUUCUCAAAGUGCUUACAUUCGACAUAUCCACCAAACAACAACCAUUGGCCUGAGAACCUAAGCAGAACAGACACUGCAUCCCCAAGUGACUGUAGAAUCAUAGAGAAGUCGGGCUGGAAGGGACCUCCACAGGCCAUCUAGUGCAACCCCGUCCAAACCGUCCUAUACAAACCAUAAUCUAAACUCUAACUAAGACUACCAUCAACCUUGACACAACGCAGACCUAACAUCCUAACCUGACACAGUUAAAAUAGGGGAACCACAGCAGCCAAUGUCCUAUUUCUAUGAAAUGUCCAUAUAUGCUCAAGAGACCCUGAGUAGAGAGCACCACCCCCCACCACUACAGAGGAAGGCAAAACCCCCUGCAGUCGGUACCAUCUGACCAUGGGGUAAAAUUCCUUCCUGACCCCAAAUAUGGCCAUCGGUCUGAACUUGAGCAGAGGGGCAAGACCCUCUAGGCAGGAACCUCCAGCUCUGGUUUUAGCAGAAGCACUGGCACACCUCAGCCCAAGUCCCCAGCUUUGGCUGUAUCUAUAGCAUGCCUGCUCCAGAACCACUGGUGACCUUGUACCUUGUAUGUCACCUGUGCAGGACUGGGAAAGAAAAUAAUUGUACAGGGAUUGUUGCUCUGUUCUUUGGUGGGAUGCAAGAAGUUAAGGCAAUUACUUUUGUCUCUGGGGCUUAAUAAAUCCCUAGUCUAACCCUGAAGGGAGAAAGAUUAGUGACAUUUGCUUUGCAAUAAGUAUUCUCUGUAGAACUGCCAGCCUAACUUUUGCUAAGAUCAGUUCAUGCCUUUAUCCUUCUGAAAUAGAUAAAUAAGAGUUUAAUGCAGCUCACUGCAGAGAAUUCUUUUGGAAUCAGAGCCUUAAUAAUGAGGUCCUGUCUGUUCCAUAUGCAUACUAAAUAGCCCAUGGAGAAUAUGGAUUUGACCGAGAUUUUGGGCCAAAAUGUCUCCACCUGUUGUUGUUCUGCAAUAUACAGGAGUAAAAUUCUUGCUCAGUUGAAGCCAGUAGAAAAAACUGACAUUGACUUCAGUUAAACCAGGUUUACACCUUGGGUCUUAAUCUGAUUGUUCUCUUUCAAUCUAGAGGACAAUAGAUUUCAUGGUGGCCAUGUGUCUACAGAGCCUGAAGACAAUGGCAAAGUGUCUAUUGAACUCAAGUGAAGUAGGAAUGAGGCAGUGGUUUUUAGGGCAGUUUGUCUUUGGGUUGUGGAUUCCUCCUUACCAAGACCUGUGUAUGUUCCUGGUAAAUAAAUUAGAUUGCAUCAAAGAAAUACCUUAGCCCACCACCCAUUUCUCCUUCAAACUGGAAUAACUAGCAGGCCUCCAAUUUUGCCUACCUAGUUGGAUCAAAAAGUGUAACGUUCUUAUAAAAAUUGCUGCAUUGUGAAAUGUUUCUUUGGGGAUGUACAUCCCUCUGCUGACAAGACUUCUAGCACAUUCCUGCCAGACAAGGGAAACUGAAGAGUAUUAAAGGCAGUUGGCCAAAAACUGGUAUUCUAAGAAAGUUGAUUAGACUUGGGAAAACUGAUAUUUUCAGCGGACAGUCUUCAGGCUGGGCACAGGGACAAGGUAAAAUCCAAAAUAAACUUACAUAAGAGGAAAAGGGCAUAGCCUCGCAGGCAAAUGCAGCCGUGGGUGGCAGAGGUGAAGAUGAACAUAGUGUUUUAGCAGAAAAGGGGUGUUUUGGUGACAGAACUAACCAGGGUCAAAGAAGGCAACCCGAGUGGAAGGAUUUGAUGGUCCAGAAGACAGACAGCUGUACAGAAGGAUCCUGGACCCUCAGAGUACCUGACCCCUGCCCAAAGAAUACUCCAGAGUGACGAGGAAACAGAAAUAGGGAAAUGUCUACAGGGUUUAUCAUUCGUGCUGUUAUGAAAAGAGCAAUGAUAUUGUCAGGAUCUCUGUGCAAAGUCUGUUUCUAUCUAUUUGCUUGCAUUAUCACAUGCACCAAAAGAGUUAAACUGUAGGCCAAAGCACCCACAGGGCUGGUGUUCUGGAAGAGGGUACAUUUAACCUGGGAAGGAGCUUGAGCGGUCAGAACAAGACUCAGGAAAACAGACUGCUGUACAGUAUGUCCCAGCUCUCAGAAGAGGAUGCUAGGCAGAUAAUUGGCUCCUCAAGAGAGGCCUAGAGGCCCCAAGCCCAUAGAAGUAACUGGAGUCAGCCUGGACUCUGGAGGCUUAAAGUACACUAGGUUCAUUGGGACUGGGAAGUGCUCAAGCAAAGGGAGUUCAACAUCUUUGUGACACUAAGUAAUUAAAAAUAUUGUUACCUUUACAACAACAGCAGGGGUUUUAGAUCCUGGCAAGGGGCCAGAGCCAACCUGAAAUUGUAGUUCAAUGUUUCCAUGUACCUGAGAAAGAACAUUGUAUGGGUUUGUAAUGAUCAGUCAUUAAAUUAUUUAAGGGGCUCUAGAAAA